rnacentral:rRNA from 1 species
AGAGAUUUGGCUCAGAACGUACGCUGGCGGCACGCCUAACACAUGCAAGUCGAACGAAGUAGCAAUACUUAGUGGCAGACGGGUGAGUAACAUGUAGGUAUCUGCCCUUUGGCCUGGAAUAACACGAGGAAACUUGUGCUAAUACCGGAUAAGUCUUUACGGAGAAAGCUUUAUGCACCAUUGGAUGAGCCUGCACUUGAUUAGUUUGUUGGUGGGGUAAUGGCCUACCAAGACUGUGAUCAAUAGCUGAUUUGAGAGGAUGAUCAGCCACAUUGGGACUGAGACACGGCCCAAACUCCUACGGGAGGCAGCAGUGGGGAAUCUUGCACAAUGGAGGAAACUCUGAUGCAGCGAUGCCGCGUGAGUGAAGAAGGCCCUUGGGUUGUAAAGCUCUUUCGUCGGGGAAGAAAAUGACUGUACCCGAAUAAGAAGGUCCGGCUAACUUCGUGCCAGCAGCCGCGGUAAUACGAAGGGACCUAGCGUAGUUCGGAAUUACUGGGCUUAAAGAGUUCGUAGGUGGUUGAAAAAGUUGGUGGUGAAAUCCCAGAGCUUAACUCUGGAACUGCCAUCAAAACUUUUCAGCUAGAGUUUGAUAGAGGAAAGCAGAAUUUCUAGUGUAGAGGUGAAAUUCGUAGAUAUUAGAAAGAAUACCAAUUGCGAAGGCAGCUUUCUGGAUCAAUACUGACACUGAGGAACGAAAGCAUGGGUAGCGAAGAGGAUUAGAUACCCUCGUAGUCCAUGCCGUAAACGAUGUGUGUUAGACGUUGGAAAUUUAUUUUCAGUGUCGCAGCGAAAGCGAUAAACACACCGCCUGGGGAGUACGACCGCAAGGUUAAAACUCAAAUGAAUUGACGGGGACCCGCACAAGUAGUGGAGCAUGUGGUUUAAUUCGAAGAUACGCGCAGAACCUUACCAACACUUGACAUGUUCGUCGCGACUUUAAGAGAUUAAAGUUUUCGGUUCGGCCGGACGAAACACAGGUGCUGCAUGGCUGUCGUCAGCUCGUGUCGUGAGAUGUUGGGUUAAGUCCCGCAACGAGCGCAACCCUCACUUUUAGUUGCCAUCAUUAAGUUGGGCACUCUGAAAGAACUGCCAGUGAUAAGCUGGAGGAAGGUGGGGAUGACGUCAAGUCCUCAUGGCCCUUACGUGUUGGGCUACACACGUGCUACAAUGGUAUCUACAACAGGAAGCAAGACGGCGACGUUAAGCAAAUCCUUAAAAGAUACCUCAGUUCGGAUUGCACUCUGCAACUCGAGUGCAUGAAGCUGGAAUUACUAGUAAUCGUGGAUCAGCGUGCCACGGUGAAUGCGUUCCCGGGUCUUGUACACACCGCCCGUCACACCAUGGGAGUUGGAUUCACCCGAAGGUAGUGCGCUAACCGCAAGGAGGCAGCUAACCACGGUGGGUUCAGCGACUGGGGUGAAGUCGUAACAAGGUAACC